UACGAAGGGGGCUAGCGUUGUUCGGAAUUACUGGGCGUAAAGAGCUCGUAGGCGGCGUGUCGCGUCUGCUGUGAAAGACCGGGGCUUAACCCCGGUUCUGCAGUGGAUACGGGCAUGCUAGAGGUAGGUAGGGGAGACUGGAAUUCCUGGUGUAGCGGUGAAAUGCGCAGAUAUCAGGAGGAACACCGGUGGCGAAGGCGGGUCUCUGGGCCUUACCUGACGCUGAGGAGCGAAAGCAUGGGGAGCGAACAGG
rnacentral:rRNA from 1 species